GACGAACGCUGGCGGCGUGCUUAACACAUGCAAGUCGAACGAAGAGCGAUGGAAGCUUGCUUCUAUCAAUCUUAGUGGCGAACGGGUGAGUAACGCGUAAUCAACCUGCCCUUCAGAGGGGGACAACAGUUGGAAACGACUGCUAAUACCGCAUACGAUCUAACCUCGGCAUCGAGGAUAGAUGAAAGGUGGCCUCUACAUGUAAGCUAUCACUGAAGGAGGGGAUUGCGUCUGAUUAGCUAGUUGGAGGGGUAACGGCCCACCAAGGCGAUGAUCAGUAGCCGGUCUGAGAGGAUGAACGGCCACAUUGGGACUGAGACACGGCCCAGACUCCUACGGGAGGCAGCAGUGGGGAAUCUUCCGCAAUGGACGAAAGUCUGACGGAGCAACGCCGCGUGAGUGAUGACGGCCUUCGGGUUGUAAAGCUCUGUUAAUCGGGACGAAAGGCCUUC
rnacentral:rRNA from 1 species